GUGGGGAAUUUUGGACAAUGGGCGCAAGCCUGAUCCAGCAAUGCCGCGUGCAGGAAGAAGGCCUUCGGGUUGUAAACUGCUUUUGUACGGAACGAAAAGGCUCUGGUUAAUACCUGGGGCUCAUGACGGUACCGUAAGAAUAAGCACCGGCUAACUACGUGCCAGCAGCCGCGGUAAUACGUAGGGUGCAAGCGUUAAUCGGAAUUACUGGGCGUAAAGCGUGCGCAGGCGGUUUUGUAAGACAGAGGUGAAAUCCCCGGGCUCAACCUGGGAAUUGCCUUUGUGACUGCAAGGCUGGAGUGCGGCAGAGGGGGAUGGAAUUCCGCGUGUAGCAGUGAAAUGCGUAGAUAUGCGGAGGAACACCGAUGGCGAAGGCAAUCCCCUGGGCCUGCACUGACGCUCAUGCACGAAAGCGUGGGGAGCAAACAGGAUUAGAAAACCCAGUAGUCC
rnacentral:rRNA from 1 species